rnacentral:rRNA from 1 species
CAGAUGGCGACCGGCGCACGGGUGAGUAACACGUAUCCAACCUGCCGCUUACUCGGGGAUAGCCUUUCGAAAGAAAGAUUAAUACCCGAUGGUAUAAAGAGUUCGCAUGUUCUCUUUAUUAAAGAAUUUCGGUAAGCGAUGGGGAUGCGUUCCAUUAGAUAGUUGGCGGGUAACGGCCCACCAAGUCUACGAUGGAUAGGGUUCUGAGAGGAAGGUCCCCCACAUUGGAACUGAGACACGGUCCAAACUCCUACGGGAGGCAGCAGUGAGGAAUAUUGGUCAAUGGACGAGAGUCUGAACCAGCCAAGUAGCCGUGAAGGAUGACUGCCCUAUGGGUUGUAAACUUCUUUUAUAAGGGAAUAAAGUGAGGGACGUGUCCCUUUUUGUAUGUACCUUAUGAAUAAGGAUCGGCUAACUCCGUGCCAGCAGCAGC